GGCAUUGCUAGAACAAAAAAUUAGAAAAAGCUACUAUUCAUAUAAUUCCAUCAAAUUUGUAAUGAUUAAAAUGGUCUACGUCUUGUACCAAAGAUGUUCUUAUUUAUUUCAGUCCAUCCAUUACAAGAUUUGAAAAAUCAAGGACUCAAGACAAGUACACUCGAUUGACAAAUGCUGUAGCAAUUCACUUCCAACGGCUGAGAGCAAUAGCUACAUAUGCCACGUAAUCGUCUUUCCUCCAUUUUCUUGUUUACAUCUAUGACACCAACUACAAUGCGAUGGUAAGUAGCCCCCGAUUCUAGGACAUGUUAAUGGAACAUCUCGUCUAAUUUCUGCCUGUAUUGAGCUAAUCUCUGCAUCAACAUAGCAUUGGUGUCAGUGCUCUUUUUAGAUACUUUCAGGAGAGAAAAUAAGGGGGUAAAAAGGAAAAGAAAAAUUCAUAGCAACAAUAAAUUGGUGCUUCCAUUUAUUCUCUCAAUAAGGUAAAAUCCAUAAUCUCAAUUUCACAACCACUGCAGCACAGGCAAUCCCAAAUCCAUUGGCUGUAAACGCUGUUUUAGCUGCUCCUGCAGUGAAAGCAGGUUGCUGCAUGCUGCUCAGGGACUUCUCCAGGGCAUUGAACAGUUGGCUUAGAACCUAGUAUAUGCAUAGACCCCAGCCUCAGUUGGUCCUGCAGGACUUCCCCUUCUAGUGAACCUCCCCUCUUUGAAUAUGUAAAGCAUAGGUAUUCCGGUUGAGAGUUCUAAACUUAUAACCUCCUGAGAAGUUAAUUUGUCAAGAUACAUAAUUAUGGACCUCAACGAAUUUCCAUGGGCAGCAAUCAUUACAUGCUUCCCAGAACAAAGCUGGGGUUCAAUCUGAUCUUUGAAAUAAGCAACAGCUCUUUUAGCACACAUCUCCAAACUCUCUCCAUUUGGUGGAGGUAUGUCAUAACUUCUCCGCCAUUCAUGAACUUUUUCCUUGCCAAAUCUAUCUGCUGUUUCCUGCUUAUUCAGACCUUGUAAUUCCCCAUACCUAUACAGAAUACCAAAUUACACGUUUUGCAGUAAAAAUAAUAAUAAUAAUAAAGUCAGGAUUACAGGUAAAAAGAGUAAGAGUGGAAACUAUAUGAUUACAUUCUUUCAUUUAAUUGCCAAGCCGUUAUAACUGGAAUGGAUUGCCUCAUUGUGUCUUCACUAAAAAUUUGACUCCAUGCCCUUGCCUGUUCACUCUCAUUGUGCAUGAUGAUUGGCACCUUUCUACGACGGUGUUGAGUCAUGGCAAGCAUAGCAGUCAUCUGUGCACGGAUCAAGGAUGAUGUAAAUAUCAUGUCGACAGGUAUAUUGCUGAUUCUCUUACCAGCUUCAAUUGCCUCUUCCACACCCUUUUUUGUCAAUGGCACAUCAACACAACCUGUGAACAGGUUCUUUUCAUUCCAUAAUGACUCACCAUGCCUAACGAGUAUCAGAGCUGCCUCGCCUGAAUUAGAUUAGGAUACCAGUGAUAUAAAGGGAUAUGUUCAGUCUUCAGCUCAGGAGAUAGCAAGUAAUAUAAAUCACAGGGACUAAUAUAAGUAUGCAAUCAACUACUGCAAUUUGGAAUAUUAGGAAUUUAUGUCACCAAAUUCCACAUAGAGAAGGCCUUUUUCAGAAUUGGUUUGAUAAUUGAUAUAAAUGUCUACUUUCAAUAACUGGAUGUGAAAUGUUGAGUAGAAUGAAACUGGCUUACUUGAUUUCUUUUGAAAUUCAUUGGUGCUGUCAUUUGAGGGGGUUGAAACUGGAUCAACCAAUGAAGUUUGAGACGCUGAGGCUUGAACAGCACUAAAAUUCCUCUUAUUAGAGCUGUAACCUUCCAUUCUCGACGUUGACAAUCCGACAUCAAACUUUAAACCUUUUGAAAUCGAUUUCACCGACACAUUUCCAAACUCUCGGUGAAAUUCAGAAUUGUGAAGAUGAUGGGAUAGAAGAGUCCCUAUUGCCGGGUGAAACACAGCACUGGCCAUUCUGAAAAUUCAAGAGAAAAAACAAUUAUUGAUGUAAGGAAACAAAAUAUACAAAUGGGUUUCCUCCGUUUGACAAGCAGCACCUGCAUCACUUGAGGGAAAGGCAUCAUGUACGAAAUUCUAUACUAGCUCAGAAAGCAUUAGCAAACAGAAUAUAGCAUAUUCCUUUCUCACGGUCAAAGAAGGCACAGAAAGGGACGAAGAACGAACUUGAAGUAAGGCCAUUCAAACCAGCUCAUAAUCAUGUUCCUUGCUGAAAGCUUUUAUGGCAAAUUAAAUCAACACCAAUAGCAAAUAUAUAUCGGUAUUUGAAGAUGGCUGCUAUUAUCACAAAAAGUAGUGAAAACUGGCGAAUCAAAAGCCCAAGUCCCAUUAAAAUCUCAAAUAUAACAUAAACAAAGGCCAGUUAAGAAUGUGUGAGAAAUAUUAUGAGCGAAAGCAAAGAUUAAAUAUUACCCAAAAAAAAAUAAAGAUAAAAGAAACAGACCUUAAACGAAAAGAAGACAGCAACCCAGAACUCAAAAAUAACAAAGAACAAAGAAAUGCCAGAAAGAAGCAGACUUUAGAUAUCAAAGAAAGAUAUCAAAGAAAGUGGGUAGGAGAAUAUCACCUGGUUAUAUAGGCGCAAAAGCGAUGAACACGAGGAAAAGAAAAUAAAGUUAGAAGAAAUGGGGAGAAUUUAUUACAAGAAAAGGUGACGGAGAGGAUGAUGGGAUGUGGAAGAACGGAGCAUGCUAAACGUCCAUUUCAAUUCAAAAAGGACAGAAAACAGAGGGAAAGCUAGUUAGAUGGGUAUGUGUGGAAUCAUAAAAGUAGAAAAAAAUCGAUGGUGGCUGUCUUAUAGAUGCUGCGAUGACGAUGCUAUCUAUUCUGAAAUUUUGAGUUUCUAUGCGAUCCUAACUCGAAAAAUAUUUGCCUCUUUGUUUGUUUUUAUAUGAUAAAACUGAAGAUUUUACGUUUUUUAAGGCGCAAACAACCAGAGCUAACCAAAUAUGAUGGUCAUGACCAUCGGAGAUUCAGGACUUAUGAUUAGAGAUUAUUAUCAUC
rnacentral:misc_RNA from 1 species